UACUUAGGAAUCUACCUAGUAGUGGGGGAUAGCUCGGGGAAACUCGAAUUAAUACCGCAUACGUCCUACGGGAGAAAGCAGGGGAUCAUUAGACCUUGCGCUAUUANAUGAGCCUAAGUCGGAUUANCUAGAUGGUGGGGUAAAGGCCUACCAUGGCGACGAUCUGUANCUGGUCUGAGAGGAUGAUCAGCCACACCGGGACUGAGACACGGCCCGGACUCCUACGGGAGGCAGCAGUGGGGAAUAUUGGACAAUGGGGGGAACCCUGAUCCAGCCAUGCCGCGUGUGUGAAGAAGGCCUUUUGGUUGUAAAGCNCUUUAAGCAGUGAAGAANACUCUUCGGUUAAUACCCGGGNACGAUGACAUUANCUGCAGAAUAAGCACCGGCUAACUCUGUGCCAGCAGCCGCGGUAAUACAGAGGGUGCAAGCGUUAAUCGGAAU
rnacentral:rRNA from 1 species